rnacentral:rRNA from 1 species
UGCGGAAGGAUCAUUACCUAGAGUUGCGAGCUUUGCCUACCAUCUCUUACCCAUGUCUUUUGAGUACCUUCGUUUCCUCGGCGGGUUCGCCCGCCGAUUGGACAACACUUAAACCCUUUGUAAUUGAAAUCAGCGUCUGAAAAAACUUAAUAGUUACAACUUUCAACAACGGAUCUCUUGGUUCUGGCAUCGAUGAAGAACGCAGCGAAAUGCGAUAAGUAGUGUGAAUUGCAGAAUUCAGUGAAUCAUCGAAUCUUUGAACGCACAUUGCGCCCCUUGGUAUUCCAUGGGGCAUGCCUGUUCGAGCGUCAUUUGUACCUUCAAGCUCUGCUUGGUGUUGGGUGUUUGUCUCGCCUCUGCGCGCAGACUCGCCUUAAAACAAUUGGCAGCCGGCGUAUUGAUUUCGGAGCGCAGUACAUCUCGCGCUUUGCACUCACAACGACGACGUCCAAAAAGUACAUUUUUACACUCUUGACCUCGGAUCAGGUAGGGAUACCCGCUGAACUUAAGCAUAUCAUA